AGAUAUUUUUAGUUUUAUUUUUAUUUUUCACUUUCCCAAUUUCUCAUCUAACUAAGAUGCAUUCUCUUUCCUCCUCCAAUCUCGAUUUCAAAACUAACAUAGAUUUUGAAUACAGGUCCGUCGAGGUGAGUGAUCUCAUUUGUUCUUUUGAACUAUUAUGGUGCGAAGAUCAUAGUCGCAGCCACCAUAUGCAUGCUAGCUUUUCUCAGUUUCCCCCACCGUCACUCUCGUCUCAGUAAGACAUUGCCGCCGCUCUCCGUCACAAGAUCUCGAAUACUGCUUCGUAAAUACUCCGGCUACCAUGCGAAGAUCGCGUUCAUGUUCCCUUCUUGCUCUUUGCGCUUUUAAUUCAAAUCAAGAGCGUAUUGAAAAUACUCCGGCAACUUUCUGAAGAUCUAAUUGUGUUAACCAUGGACAGAUCUGAUUCUAGAGAUCUCUACUACAACUUAGCUCGAGCUUCAUCACAGAAAAAGAAGUUGUGAAAAUAGGAAUCCCAAAGCAUAAAUGGACACCAAAAAAAGAUCUUAUGGUUGGACUCAAAUAUGGAACUGGAAAAUGGCUUUACAUACUCGCAGACUCUGGGUACUACCUCUCUCCAGACCCCCAACCCCAACUCCACACCGACCAUAACAGCAAUCCCGACAUCCACACUUCCUAAGCCCCUAGCAGCCACAUCCACAUCCACACCUCUCUUUUUGCUGAUAACCACAUCCACAUUUCCUGUUUUGCUGAUAACCACAUCCACAUGUCCCUUGUCACAAUACCAAACAAUAUACACAUGGUGAUUGGGUCUGGACAUCUACAAAACCACAAUCCUGAUUUUUUACCAUGCAUCUUACCACAUCUACAUAACCACAUCCACAUGUCCCUUGUCACAUGAGGAUUCUGUGCUUUCUUGUACCCAUUGUUACAUCACUAUGAGAUUUUUAGGCUUAGAUUUAGCUUUUUCUUACCUCAGUGUGAGGUUCUUUUACUUCAGUAUGAAGUUCUCUUAUCUCUUUAUGAGGUUGUUAUUGGUAAUCUACUCCUUUUGUGUUCACUGUUAUAUUUUUGUAUGUUGGUAUUCUUAACUUAUGUUGCAGGGAUACACUAUGAAAUUAGGAUUUCAUAAAAACCAGUAUUGGCUCUCUAGUCUUGAUUUGGUAGGUAUGAACGUGGUGUUUCUUGAAACUCCACACUCGUUUGAUGCUUGCAGUUGUUGCUCCAGCUUGUUUGGACACCAGUUCACUGUCUGAAUGUCUGUAUUCUGAUUUCCAUUGCUUCAUCUCAUGGUUUAGCACUUUGGUGUUGUUGCCCAUGGGUUAUGUAUGUGCGUCUAUUAAUUAUAUCUUUUGUUUAGCUUUUAAUGCAGCAGCUUCUCUAACCAGUUUGACAACUCUGUUGUACUUGAACAAGUCCUCCAUAUAUGGAGUGUAAGCUUUUAUUUAUAAAAUUUGGAUUUGUUCAAUAUUA